ensembl:snoRNA Snord72 small nucleolar RNA SNORD72
GGCUUAUCAGUGAUGUUCUAAAAAUAAAUGUCUGAACAUAUGAAUGCUAUACUGAUUUCAGCAUUUAGCUGAGAUAAGCU